AGCGCGCGGGAGUCGGGAUUGUGCUUGCACGACUUCCCCCGGCCCGCGGCCUGUGAGCCCAGGUCCUGGGGUGAACCGAGCGCUCGCUCGUUCGUCAGACCGUAGCGCUCCAGCGGCUGUCCUUACUGUGUAGUAGCCAAAGCUGAGGGUGAUGACUGUGAACCAGAACAGACUGCCUCGCUGAAAAGUCACUUGGAACUCUUCUGUGGCAUCUGAAGCAGAUGGACGAAGCCAAGAGGGCCGAGAGUAUCUCAGCACCUAGAAAUGGACAAGGCUGGUUAUUAGAACAAAGAUUUCGCAGGUGGUGAGUCUCAAAGGCGAAGCUGAAUGAGGCAAGAAUCUGCAUCAAAGAGCCCUGGAAGCAAUCAUGGCUCAACUGUGAUGCCUUUAGAACAUGAAGUCCUCCAAGAAGAUGCCAUAGGAAUGGCCUCCAUCCCAGGGCCUGGAGAGCAGCCAGAGACAAGAAGAGUAGCCCAGGAGGGCACUGGCAGUCAGUGCUACACUGUGGCCUGUCAGUCUCAGAGCCAGGAUUUAAUCACUGGAUCUCCCAUUAACCAGUCAUAAUGAAGUAAGAACAAGAAGAUGGGGAAGAGGAAGUGUAAAACCGUGGCUUAAAUUUGCCAAGGAUAAGCUGAGUGUACUUCAGCAGUCAUUUGCACAGAAUCCUUAUCCUAAUUUUACAACCAGGGAAAAACUGGCUGGACAGUCUCUUGUCCUGUGUUUGUAAUUGAUAACUGGUUUCAAAAUAAAAGCCAGACCACCACUUAGAGAGAGACACAGAAUGUUCACUGCCAGGGAACUGCAUGAUUCCUCUGCCAAAGGCCACCCAUUUACAAGAAUCCAGGAAAACCAGGUGGAAUCUCCCAAUGAUGACCCUGAGCAGAACUUCUUGUACCCAGGAAGUUCUACUGGGUGGAGCUGGCCACUCUUCCGUGGAGACACAGGGGACUCCCAAUUAACAUGAUGGCUCAAAUAACUGUAGCCUUAUGGAUUAAAAGGAAACUAAGCUGUGAUUUGGAGUAUCCAGGUGAUACAGAAAAUGGCCCUUGUCGAUGUAGAUCAGCAUUAUUUCCUUAUCCUUCUGCAUCUCCUCCUCAGUAUUCUGAAAGGGACAAGCCUGAGAUGGGGGAAAGCCAGCAUGCAAGGCCCUCCCCUUUGUGCUGUGUUCAUGGUGUGCACGGAGAGAGGCAGCAGCAGGAGGAACAGAAAGGUUAUUUUCUUUACUGACUCUUUCAAGGACAUCAGCAGAAUGGUUGGGAAUGUCAUCAUGAGCAGCCUCAGCCUCAGAAUUACCAGGAGAAGCUGGUCUUCCAGGAUCAGGUUCUAAUGUAUAUGAGUCACAGGAUUUAGGGAAGCAGGCACUUUCCCUUCAGUCCCAGCAGCAUGGUUGAUGUUCCCAAGUAAUGGAGAGUCCCUGUGCUCUCAGUUGUGGCACACACCUUUGCAAAUAGUGAUCAGAUCUCCACAAACGCCUCUUGGGUAAGAUAUGCAGCAACAUAGCUGGCUGCAGAGCAACCCAGUUCCCAAAUCCAGCAGCUCUUGGAUGAGAAGUCUGCAAGUGUUUACUGCUGGGACCAGGACUGUGUUUCUAGGAAAUGGUGCUAGGCUUCAGAGAGCAUCAUCCACAGGUCAUCCCACAACCAUCCACACAGAAGCCUGAGGAAAAGGGCUCUGCAGAGCUUGCACAUAAAGAUGCUGAACUCAGGAAGGCUCUGUGAGCUGCUGGUCUCUUCUGGUAGGGCAGCAGUGUCCUGAGAAGGUGGAGCUAGAGUAUGGAGAACAAAACUAACAAGCACCAAGGCAGCAAGCAAGGCAACCCCCAAAUGACAGCAGUUGCCAAAUCCAAAGCAAUCUGUGCUUCAGAAGACAGAGGCUCUGCACAGUCCCUGUCUCAGACAUUGUCUCCUCCUUAGAAGAUACCUAACAACAGCACUGUGGGAGGCUGAGGUGGGUGGAUCACCAGGUCAGGAGAUCAAGACCAUCCUUGAUCUUUAGUAGAGACGGUGAAACACUGUCUCUACUAAAAAAUACAAAAAAAAAUUAGCUAGCCGUGGCGGCGGGCACCUGUAGUCUCAACUAUUUGGGAGGCUGAGGCAGGAGAAUGGCCUGAACCCGGGAGGCAGAGCUUGCAGUGAGCUGAGAUUGCGCCACUGCACUCCAGCCUGGGCAACAGAGUGAGACUCCAUCUCAAAAAAAAAAAAAAAAAAAAAAAAAAAAGAUACCUAACAAGCAGUACAAGAAUAUGAAGGACCCCACUGCCCAGACUUUGUAUGGAGGGGUGUCUAAGGUGGCUACAGCAAAGCUGUCAUCUCCAUCGACCGGGACAGCAUCUCCAGCCAUGAUGUGUGGCCUGCUGGAACAGCAGCCAUGUGUCCUUUCACAGACAGCCCACCAAAGCUCUGACUGUGAAGGACAUCCCAACAUCAGCCUAGCCUGCAUACACUUAAGGCAUAGAAUCACCUGAGGCUUCUCCGUUGAAGACAGGGACUCCCGAUGGAGUUGCAGCCCCAGCUUUGCACUGUAAAGAGCCCCAGGGGGCUUCUGUGCUAGAGCAGGUGUGCAGACCCCUCCUCACCCCCUUCACUGAGAGCUGCUGCCUGGAACCAGUGUUUUGACUGAGUCACCUCUGGACGUGGGCCCACAAGAUCUGAGAGUGCCCAGACGAGAAGUUGAAUGCCUUGUGUUGACCUGAGUGUUUGGAAAAAAGCCCCAAACUUUGAAACAAUUUUCAUAAUUUUGAGCUUCAGGAUGUGGAAUCACUUCUCAAGUAUUCUGGAGUUCUGUCCAUCAGAGCGGGUCCUGCCAAUGCUGCCCUGUGCAGCGCUUCAGGCUGCAUCCCUCCCACUAGGGGGCGCCUUUCACAUAGUGGCGCCUGCCUUCUAGAGGAGCAACAUUUCCUGAACUGCAGGGUUCCCUCGGGGCUUUGUGUAAAACACAUCCACUGCAUAGAAUUUGUGUUAUUUCCAUUUUGUUUUCUUGACAAUAUUUAAUUAAUUACAAAAUGAUGUAUGUUAUGAUAGUUUAAGCAAUACAGAGAGUAACCAAACAAAA
rnacentral:lncRNA from 10 species